rnacentral:rRNA from 1 species
AUUGAACGCUGGCGGCAUGCUUUACACAUGCAAGUCGAACGGCAGCACGGGGGCAACCCUGGUGGCGAGUGGCGAACGGGUGAGUAAUGCAUCGGAACGUACCCAGUCGUGGGGGAUAACGCAGCGAAAGUUGUGCUAAUACCGCAUACGACCUGAGGGUGAAAGCGGGGGACCGUAAGGCCUCGCGCGAUUGGAGCGGCCGAUGUCUGAUUAGCUAGUUGGUGGGGUAAAGGCCACCAAGGCGACGAUCAGUAGCGGGUCGUGAGAGGAUGAUCCGCCACACUGGGACUGAGACACGGCCCAGACUCCUACGGGAGGCAGCAGUGGGGAAUUUUGGACAAUGGGCGCAAGCCUGAUCCAGCCAUGCCGCGUGCGGGACGAAGGCC